UACGGAGGGUGCGAGCGUUAUCCGGAUUCACUGGGUUUAAAGGGUGUGUAGGCGGGCUAUUAAGUCAGCGGUGAAAUCUCCGGGCUCAACCCGGAAACUGCCAUUGAUACUAUUAGUCUUGAAUAUCGUUGAGGUUGGCGGAAUAUAUCAUGUAGCGGUGAAAUGCAUAGAUAUGAUAUAGAACACCGAUUGCGAAGGCAGCUAACUAAGCGAUGAUUGACGCUGAGGCACGAAAGCGUGGGGAUCAAACAGG
rnacentral:rRNA from 1 species